AUGGCUUGCUACCCCUGCAACCCCCUCCUUCACCUCCCUAUAGGCACCAACAUCAUCCUAGCUGGCCCUCUCCAUGCUCGUCGUGGCUAUGUGGUACUAGAAGGAGAACUUCCCAUGGUGUGCAAUGAGUGGGCUAUCGCCACCUUGGUUCCGGAAGUUUCUGCUGAAGAGUUCCAUGGUGCCAUUGCUCUGAUCAUCAACUACCUUGAAGGGCGUGGAUGGCGCAUCAACUACACCUCUCGCUGCGGUAUGGGUACGGCUCUUGUCCAAUUUACCACUGCUUGCUCUAGAGAUACGGCCAUCAGUCUUAGCCGGUUUCAGAUUGGAGACUCUGUUUUGAGGAUUACUAGGUAGGACAAAGGAUUGAACUAUCAUAGCAUUGCUUUUACUCAUGAUGUUUGGAUCUUGAUGAUGAACUACCCCCUGGAAUGUUGGGAUGUUGGGGUUAUCAGUCGCGCAGUAUCUCCUUAUGGUAGAUUUCUCAUUUGGAACAAGGAUCCUAGAGACAAAACUAGAGUUAUAGUGAAGCUCGGAGUUUUUAAUGUUGACACUAUUCCCAUCAGCAUUGUUGUGCUUUGCAAUCUAGAUGACGUUGGCUAUGGGGAUUCAUGGACUCCGACUUACAUCGUCUCUAGAGAUUUGAUUGGGCAGCAGGGUGGUGAUGAGGAUGCACUCCCACAUGAUGGUGGCAAUCCACACCCAUUGCCUCAUGUUCAUGGAGGAUUUUGGCAUGAUAAUGUGCUUGGCAACAUCCCAAUGGAUCAAGUUGUUAUUAACCCACACAAUGGAAACCUAGGUGCUCCUUAUGAAGAUGUUCAUGUUGUCAACAAUAACAACAAUGUUAAUCAUGAGGCAGAGUCUGAUGAGCUAUCUGAGCAGAUUCCUAUUGGUGGGAAUUCAGUUUCUGUUCUGAAUGAAGUUGGUCUAAAUGCUCCUGGUAUGAAUGAUGUUAUUGGAAAUGAAGCUGUUGUGGAUGUUGUGGAGCAGAUGCAUGACACCAUUGGGCCUGAUUACAUCCCACUUGAUCAGGCACAAGAUCAAUAG
rnacentral:rRNA from 1 species